GAGUGGACUCCUACGGGAGGCAGCAGUGGGGAAUUUUGGACAAUGGGCGCAAGCCUGAUCCAGCCAUGCCGCGUGUCUGAAGAAGGCCUUCGGGUUGUAAAGGACUUUUGUCAGGGAAGAAAAGGACAGGGUUAAUACCCCUGUCUGAUGACGGUACCUGAAGAAUAAGCACCGGCUAACUACGUGCCAGCAGCCGCGGUAAUACGUAGGGUGCGAGCGUUAAUCGGAAUUACUGGGCGUAAAGCGAGCGCAGACGGUUACUUAAGCAGGAUGUGAAAUCCCCGGGCUUAACCUGGGAACUGCGUUCUGAACUGGGUAGCUAGAGUAUGUCAGAGGGGGGUAGAAUUCCACGUGUAGCAGUGAAAUGCGUAGAGAUGUGGAGGAAUACCGAUGGCGAAGGCAGCCCCCUGGGAUAAUACUGACGUUCAUGCUCGAAAGCGUGGGUAGCAAACAGGAUUAGAAACCCCAGUAGUCCGA
rnacentral:rRNA from 1 species